rnacentral:tRNA from 1 species
GGAGUGGCGUAGUGGUUUUGAGUGCUGGACUACAACUCUGGUGACCAGGGUUCAAUUCCCCACCUGGCCA